UACGGGGGGGGCGAGCGUUGUUCGGAAUUAUUGGGCGUAAAGGGCGCGUAGGCGGUGUGGUAAGUCUGUUGUGAAACCUCCAGGCUCAACUUGGAGCUUGCAUCAGAAACUGCCGUGCUAGAGUGUGGGAGAGGAGAGUGGAAUUCCUGGUGUAGCGGUGAAAUGCGUAGAUAUCAGGAGGAACACCGGUGGCGAAAGCGGCUCUCUGGACCACAACUGACGCUGAGGCGCGAAAGCUAGGGGAGCAAACAGGAUUAGAUACCCUGGUAGUCCUAGCCUUAAACGAUGAACACUUGGUAUAGCGGGUAUCGAAUCCCGCUGUGCCGGAGCUAACGCAUUAAGUGUUCCGCCUGGGGAGUACGGUCGCAAGGCUGAA
rnacentral:rRNA from 1 species